GUUAAAAAGCUCGUAGUUGGAUUUCUGCGGGGGCGGGGCGGCCGGUUGCUUAUAGCAACUCGAGCUAGCACUUCCCCUGCAUCCUGCCGCGAACCGUGCUACCAUUAGUUUGGUGGCGCCGGGGAUCGGCUCGUUUACUUUGAGAAAAAUAGAGUGUUCAAAGCAGGCCACACGCCUUGAAUAAGUUAGCAUGGAAUAAUGAUAAAGGACUUCGGUUCUAUUUUGUUGGUGUUCGGGACUGAAGUAAUGAUUGAUAGGGACAGUUGGGGCGGUCCGUAUUCCAAAGCGAGAGGUGAAAUUCUUAGACCUUCGGAAGACGAACAGCUGCGAAAGCGUUCCGCAAGGAUGUUCCCUUUGAUCAAGAACGAAAGUUGGGGGAUCGAAGACGAUCAGAUACCGUCGUAGUCUCAACUAUAAACUAUACCAGCUAGGGAUCGGCCAACGUUUAAUUACACCGACUUGGUCGGCACCUUAUGAGAAAUCAAAGCAUCUGGGUUCCGGGGGGAGUAUGGUCGCAAGGCUGAAACUUAAAGGAAUUGACCGAAGGGCACCACCAGCCGUGGAGCC
rnacentral:rRNA from 1 species